rnacentral:lncRNA from 1 species
AGGACCAUGUGUGCUCAUCAUUAGGGCCUUGAGUCCUUGGAGGAAACCUGGAUAAAUGGAGGCAGGAGAGGUGGCUGACGCUGAAGCGUUAUCUUCAGAGUUUCUUACCUCUGACUUCCAAGGGUCUGGAGUCCAGCCUCACCUCCCACAAAAGGCUGCGAGAGCAAUGGAAGUGGAGGCUUUCAGUUCAUAAAAUAUUCUAACUGCCAUUAUUACACUUGAUUUUAUAUUUUUACCCUUUGCUCAUAUUCUACCUUUAAUUUACCCAUAUGUCCUCUUGGACACACCUCCAAACUUGAGUUGAAAUCUUCCUCCCCUAGACCCACCCUGGCCUGAGCUCCUCUCAUCUCUACAGGGAUGACAACAGAACCUUCCUGACUUUCCUUCUGCUUCUGUCCCCACACCCCCACUAUUCACUCUCCUUACAACGUUUAACUCCCUGGUUUAAAAUGGCACCCCAAAAUCCCAUUGCAUUUUAGAAUAAACACCUGUAUGCCCUG